rnacentral:rRNA from 1 species
AUUGAACGCUAGCGGGAUGCCUUACACAUGCAAGUCGAACGGAGUGGCGAACGGGUGAGUAAUGUAUCGGAACGUGCCCAGUAGUGGGGGCUAACUACGCGAAAGCGUAGCUAAUACCGCAUACUAUUGGAGCGGCCGAUAUCGGAUUAGCUAGUUGGUGGGGUAACGGCUCACCAAGGCGACGAUCCGUAGCUGGUUUGAGAGGAGGACCAGUCACACUGGGACUGAGACACGGCCCAGACUCCUGCGGUAGGCAGCAGUGGGGAGUUUUGGACAAUGGGGGAAACGCGGAACCAGCCAUCCCGCGUGUGCGAUGAAGGCCUUCGGGUUGUAAAGCACUUUUGGCAGGCAAGCGGUACCUGCAGAAUAAGCACCGGCUAACUACGUGCCAGCAGCCGCGGUAAUAC